GGAACGUGCACACUUAUCGCUGCGCCACCAGGCCAGCCCCCAGCGAACAGAGUUCACGAAAGAUCUCGGAACAUGAGAGAAGGCAAGUAGCCCCAACCAUCUCGUUUCACCAAUGCAAGACACAGGCCCAAGAAGGAAGCAGCAUCAUUGAGCGAGGAAGACCGUGUGAAGACCCAGGGGGAGAACACCAUUGAUGAUGGAAGCAGAUUGGAGUCAUGUAGCUGCUAGCCGAGGAACACCGAGGAUUGCAGCCACCACUAGAAGCUAAGAAGGGGCAAGAAGGAUCCUAGCCAAAGUCUCAGAGGGAACAUGGCCCUACUGUCACCUUGAUUUUGGACUUCUAGCCUCCAGAGCUGUGAGAGAAUAAA